rnacentral:lncRNA from 1 species
CCCAUUAAAACCUCCCUCAGCCAUUGGAACCUGUAUCCACCAAUUGACCAGGGCUGUUUUUUAAAACCCUAGCUGGCAAUUAUUUUCCCAGUGUGUCAAAGAAAAUCUAGAUCCAAGAGGUCUCUCAGCUCUUUACUGAUGUCUGUGAGCCUAAGUAGCUUAUUUCCUCAACCAGUCUGCUUGAGAGGUAAAACAGUUGAUUCCUGGACUUUGGUCUCCUGAGAAUAUGACAGAAGCACAGCUUCAAGGGAAAGGUCAUUAGAAGAGGUGUUAGCGUGACAUACCUGUCUACCUGCUUGCCUGCCUGCCUGCCUGCCUGCCGAAGACCAGAAACAGCUUUUUUGAAAAAGUGUGCUUCAAACAAAAGUGUACCUAAACAAAGUUUCAAUAUAAAAUUUAAGCUUUAAUCUACAGCCUAGAAGAAAUCUCCAUGGAUGUUUUUUAAAAAAGCAACUGACACUACAAUAAACCUGUUAAAAAUGUCUCA